rnacentral:rRNA from 1 species
CUACGGGGUGCUGCAGUGGGGAAUAUUGCACAAUGGAGGAAACUCUGAUGCAGCAACGCCGCGUGGAGGAUGACACUUUUCGGAGCGUAAACUCCUUUUAUAUAGGAAGAUAAUGACGGUACUAUAUGAAUAAGCACCGGCUAACUCCGUGCCAGCAGCCGCGGUAAUACGGAGGGUGCAAGCGUUACUCGGAAUCACUGGGCGUAAAGAGCGUGUAGGCGGGUUAAUAAGUCAGAAGUGAAAUCCUAUGGCUCAACCAUAGAACUGCUUUUGAAACUGUUAACCUAGAAUAUGGGAGAGGUAGAUGGAAUUUCUGGUGUAGGGGUAAAAUCCGUAGAGAUCAGAAGGAAUACCGAUUGCGAAGGCGAUCUACUGGAACAUUAUUGACGCUGAGACGCGAAAGCGUGGGGAGCAAACAGGAUUAGAUACCCCGGUAGUC